CAGUGAACGAACCAAGGUCAGUGGUCCGACACAAUUGCCCUUGUGACGUCAUAUGGCUGUGUCAUUAUCUUUCAUUAUUUGAAUGCACUCUAUUUUACGUAACAUAAAUAAACAGCAAUCAAAAUUCUUUGUUGUUGUCACAUAUACAUCAGUACGGCGCUCAUGACGUCUUGUGAGCUUCAUGUAUAAAAGUCAUCACUUGAAACGAAUAAUGCAGCAAUCCUGAAUCAGGCUGAAUAGGUCAACGGAUGAUGGCAUCAUUUCAGCAGGAUGUUUUAUGAAACGUUUAUCAGUGAUCCGUCUGACUGACAUGUGUUUUACGUCUUUCAUUAGAUUGUAAAAAUAUGAGGACAUAGUUGUUUUUGGAAACCGCAUUUCAUUUGUAUCUCAUCUGGUCUUGCUUUUGCAAUUUUGGCAAAUCGCAUCAUCUGGUUUGUGACUGUCUUCAUCGCAGGCUCAGUAUUAACAUUAUGUUAUAUUAUGUCAUUUGGUUAACAAAUGACCCUGUAUCCCACUAAAGAACAAUGAACAUUGACCUGCAGUUGAACAACAUACAGUAAUGAAAUAAUGUCGUAUUUGAGUUAUACAUUCAAUGCUGCUGAUAGAUAGCUUCCAUUUAUAUACGAAACUCGUAAGUAUGGAAUUUAUCGUAUUUGUUUCACAAUUUUCAACCGAUAUUUACUUUACUAGAGUUCUCUUUACAUAGUAAAUCGUUUCAAAAGUCACUUUGGUUUUGUU